GACGAACGCUGGCGGCGUGCUUAACACAUGCAAGUCGAGCGGUAAGGCCCUUUCGGGGGUACGACGAGCGGCGAACGGGUGAGUAACACGUGGGUGACCUGCCCUCAGCUCUGGGAUAAGCCUGGGAAACCGGGUACUAAUACCGGAUAUGACUCCAUGACGCAUGUUGUGGGGUGGAAAGCCUUGUGCGGCUGAGGAUGGGCCCGCGGCCUAUCAGCUUGUUGGUGGGGUGAUGGCCUACCAAGGCGACGACGGGUAGCCGGCCUGAGAGGGCGAUCGGCCACACUGGGACUGAGACACGGCCCAGACUCCUACGGGA
rnacentral:rRNA from 1 species